GGCCACUGAAACCCCUGCCAUCCCUCCGGAAAAGAAAAGAAAAAGCAGGAAGAGACCUCUUUCUAAUCCAGUGGUCACACGCAGACGUGAGAGACAACGGGAAACACAACGUUCCGCAUCAGCUUCACAAGCCAGAAGAGACGAUCCUGUGCAUGAGGAAGGCCUUCAGCUAGAACAUCAAGAGUUUGGUAGUCUUGAAACACAUCUCCAAGAGUUAAGGGACACCCUAACUGCAGUCCAGGUUCCGGAGGCAACAGACGGAACGGUUUCUGCCUGGGCACAAAGGCAGCUUCUCACAGAUGUGAGAAUGAAAACGGCUAGGCCAAUGCUUUUUAAUGCAAAACUCUCAGC